UACGAGUGCCCCAAGCGUUAUCCGGAAUCAUUGGGCGUAAAGGGUGUGUAGGUGGCGAUGUUAGUCUUCUGUCAAAUUCUUCGGCUUAACCGGGGGUCCGCAGGGGAAACGGCAUUGCUCGAGGAUGCGAGGGGUGAAUGGAACUCAUGGAGUAGGGGUGAAAUCCGUUGAUAUCAUGGGGAACACCAAAAGCGAAGGCAAUUCACUGGCGCAUUCCUGACACUGAAACACGAAAGCGUGGGGAGCGAACAGG
rnacentral:rRNA from 1 species